GCCCACUAAGUCAAAUGCUUUUCUGUAAUCCAGAAGUGCAACCCUGACGCGCGAACCAGUGCCAUCCGUGUUUUCCAACCAGCGAUGUAACAUCGAAAUUAAAGCAAAAGUAGUACAUGAAUCGGGCACAAAACCAAAUUGAUUUGGAUCCAUUGCUUUCAGCAGCGUAGGUCUUAUUUCCUGCUCGAUGAUGCAUGACUCAGCAAUCUUGGAUAAAGUUGGUGUUAAUGAGAUUGGUCUUAGAUCUUUAUUGAAGUCUUCAAUGGCAACUGUUUUUGGUAAGGGUGUAACAUUAGCCAAUUUCCACACACGAGGUACUUUUGAUUCCCGGAAGGAUGCAUUAAUUAUGUUUGUGAUGGCUGGG